rnacentral:lncRNA from 1 species
UUUUGUCUAAAUUAUUCAGUAGAUGAUUUUUCAAGAAUUGCCUAAGCUCUAAAUUUUCAAAGUUGAUGAAAUUUUACUUUGUUUGCAGAUAGUUCCUCCAUAGACAUUAUUUUUUUUGUUUCUCUAUUUCUUUUGCAAUGUAUAAACAUCUACGGAGAGUUACCAAUUGUCCACAGAUAAGAAUCCACUAUCCUCCAUGGAGACAGACACCGUCAAGGACAAGCACCUGGAUUAUCUCCUCCCUGCAAAGAGAUACAGGCUGGUGGGAAAGCUGCUGUCCAGCAAGCUCACAGACUUCCUCCUCUCUGCAAGUGUCUCAAGGCCAAAGACAGGCUGGUGGGAAAGCUCUGACCAGCAAGGCCAUACGCUCCCCCUCCCCUACCUAAAGCCCCAAAUAAAAACCCUUCCUUUUAGCUUUUCCGGGAGUUUGGGAUUUCAGUGUUAGCUGCCCUGUCUCCUUGCUCAGCACUGUGCAAAAAUA